GAUGAACGCUAGCGGGAGGCCUAACACAUGCAAGCCGAGCGGUAUUUGUUCUUCGGAACAGAGAGAGCGGCGCACGGGUGCGGAACACGUGUGCAACCUGCCUUUAUCUGGGGUAUAGCCUUUCGAAAGGAAGAUUAAUACCCCAUAAUAUAUUGAGUGGCAUCAUUUGAUAUUGAAAACUCCGGUGGAUAGAGAUGGGCACGCGCAAGAUUAGAUAGUUGGUGAGGUAACGGCUCACCAAGUCAAUGAUCUUUAGGGGGCCUGAGAGGGUGAUCCCCCACACUGGUACUGAGACACGGACCAGACUCCUACGGGAGGCAGCAGUGAGGAAUAUUGGACAAUGGGUUAGCGCCUGAUCCAGCCAUCCCGCGUGAAGGACGACGGCCCUAUGGGUUGUAAACUUCUUUUGUAUAGGGAUAAACCUACUCUCGUGAGAGUAGCUGAAGGUACUAUACGAAUAAGCACCGGCUAACUCCGUG
rnacentral:rRNA from 1 species